UCAUAUUUUGGAUGAGCUGCCGGCGUUUUGUAGGGCUGGUCAGCACAUGUGGAUGUCGCGGUGUCCAUUGAUACAUAUGGAUAUCGUUGAGUACCACGCGUCCGACCGCGUGUUACGGCAGUUUGGGUAUGUACAGAAUAUACCCGUGGCUACGGAUUGGGUGUAUGACCACUAUGUGAGGGACGAGCGUGCGGGCGUCGAUGAUGCAUGGCGGCUCUAUAUGCAGCAGCAGGUCCAGAGUUGGGAUACGAGGAUGACGAGCCUAGCGGUGGUCGGACAUGACACUUUGAUCCAUGUGUACAUAGAGUGGUACAUGCGGAUCACUCACAUCAUUAUUGGCAACCCCUCUAGGCGUCGUCCAGAUGGCCUAGGAUAUGUAGCUCUCGCAGGAGCGUAUGAGGCGCUGGUACGGACCGUUCAGACGAUGCGCUAUGAGAGCGCUUCCCGUACGGAGGCCCCCGAGACAGCGGAGUAUGCAACACGGAUGAUUGAGCUUGCCGAGACUGGUAUGCGACAGGCACAUGACUUUGAGCAUCUCAGUGAGCGUGUUCCCGGUGCCCCACCUCGGGCAGUAGGUAGUCGUGGUCGCCGAAGAGCUGGUGGUCAUCGCAGAGGUCGUAGGGCUGGCAGAGGUGAUGGAGCUCCGUAGGCUUCAGAGAUCCCGCCGAGUUCUUACCGGUCGUCUACUACAGAUAUCCCAUCGACUUCUUCUUCCUGGCCGUCAACUUCACAGACACCUCUGUAUAUGCCGGACCCUUUUUCAGAUUAUGUGCCCUGGCCUUCAUUUCCACAUCCACCAGUUCGUGAUCGACAGGGUGAGCGGCCGGUUCGUGAUCUACAGGGUGGCCUACAUCUGGACUUCGACGAUGGCAUAGUCGAGGACUUCGUGUUUGAUAUGGCACGAUCUGCAUCUCCUGCUCCGGGGGCCGCUCAGGAGCCCUCUCACUAGGCAUCUUAGGAGGUCGUCGACACACAGGUUCAUUCUUCUACGCUUGUGGACCCAUCUCCGGCUCCAGCUACAGCUCUGAGGCCCACUCAGGAGACCGUUGAGGAGCCAGCUCAGGAGCCCUCUCACCAGGCAUCUCAGGAGGCCGUCGACACACAGGUUUAUUCUUCUGCGCCUGUGGACGGGUCUCCUGAUGAGAUUGACGAGACUCCUGAUGCUUUUGUCGCAGUCCCACCGCCCACCGUCAUCUCCUAUAGGAAGCAUGUUAUGAACCGGGGUCCGAGUCGAAAGAAGAGAAGGAAGGAAAGCAAGGAUGAUCAUGCCAUAGAGCAUGUACAGAUUAAGAGGAGGAAGGGGGAUGGAGAUGAUGGUGGGGGUGGUGGGGUUGGCCUUAGGCUUAGCCGUACUCUAAAGGCUCCCACA